rnacentral:sRNA from 1 species
AUUUAGUGACUCGCACGAUAGAAAAUGUUUGCAGGGCGACAAAAAGGCAUCAGCAGCACACGCAGGUAACAGCUGAAAAACAUGCAAAUCAUUCCCGAGAUGCGCACACCACACACGUGUGGUGUGCGCAUUUUUCAAGAAAGGUCGUGCACGGUAGUAAGAAAAAAAAAUUAAAAAUGCCUUGAGCUCUUUCGAGACGAGCUCAAUGAUCGGAGAUUUUCGUUGCAAAUAAAAUAAAAUUACAAAGGUAAAUUUGGUGAGUCAUAAGUCAUCCAUCUCUUCUUUCUGUACAAAUAAUGUGUUCCAUUCUUAGGAUAAAAUUACAGAAAGAAAUUUAAUAUGCUGCAGUGGUAUAGCAGAAAUUAUUUCUUAUCGCUUCCGAAUCGAAUAGGCCGAACAUACAGCGUGAAACGUCCUGAAGUUUGGGAAUCUUUAAAACUGAAAUGCUUUCUACAAUUUAUGCUGCGAUGGAAUAUUUUAACGCAAUGGUUUUAAACUGCUAAUUAUAGACGGACGUGCACAUUUGAUGUCUGUAAAAUAUUGUGUGUAUGGCGUAACGGAACUUCUGGGAAAAUGUGGUGCUUACUCCUAUAGGCUGGUACUACGGUCUUUUUUACGGAAAAAUUUCCGAAAAUCGUUCUUUCGGUGGUUUGAAAAGGUUACCACAUUUGAUUUUUUGGGUUUCUUUGGCCAAAAUGGUGCCAUCUACAAAUAAUAUGGCAUCAAACAAUUAAUCAGCUGCUUAAAAGCAUGUGUACACACAAAUGUGAGUGUAUGGGUCACACUAAAAUUAAUGUAUGUUGUUGUAAUUUGAACCAAACCCCACCCCUUCGUAAUUAAUAUAUAAUGAAACGCAAAACAAUUUAAAAACAAACAAAUGCAGAAUUUAUUUUUAAAAAUAAUAAGACUUUGUUGUAUUUUUACUGUUAUAAGUUAAAUAGGCGCAACUUUCCAAAGGCCUUUGUCAGCAUCUUCCACUUCUAUCCAAAUAUUGUUGUUGUAAUUGCAAGACCAAAAGCACAACACAUUCUUUCACAAACCUUUUUAUUUGGUACAUAUUGAUUGAGUUGCUUGUUGUGAAAGAAACACUUUAUUUCACUAACACUAACAAACACUCAGUUACAAUUAGAAGUUUGACGAUCGCGUUUAUUUUGCAUAAGAAAAUUACUUGUUAUGCAGCGACUGUGGUUGUGCUCUCAAUGGUCGUCCCGAAAUGUAAAUUUCCCUAGAUGAAAACAAAAGUUAUGACGAAACGAACAAAUUUUGCCAAACCCGAAUAUAGUACCGGCCUCAUGAGACUAAAGGGUGGUACUACAUUCGGUUUUUGCGUUGAAACUUCAUAUAAAAAAAGUAAUUUUACUUAGCAAGAUUUUUUUCAACAAGUUAAAUAUUCCUAUAGCAAAA